AUGCAUGGCCACCCCCAGGUGCAGAACUUCGCACUUUUUCCUAUCAAACCUCAGGAGGUCUCUGUUGGCUCAAGGUUAUUGAGAUCCCCCCGGACUGAGGCCCUGCCAUCUGUUGUCAGCCACUCUCCCAAGUUCAGUGUCAUUCACAGAUUUGCUGAAGGUACACUUGGGAUCAGCAUUCAGGUCCUUGAUGAAGAUCCUGAACAGCAGGAGAACUGUAGCCUCCAGAUUUGGGGGCAGACUGGGCUUACUCCCUUCUUCCUACUCUGUCCCUCUUCCUGGUGUGCUGUGUCCUGGUUUGCGCAGACCUCUUCGCAGAGCAUCCAUGUUUUGUAACCCAGUGGGAGAGGAAGCAUGUUGCAUCCUAGGCUGUGUACACGUGGAGUUUUAAAUUAUAUAUUACAACUGUGUUCAUCUAAUAAAAAUUGUAACUCAAAAAAGAUGCUUGGACUC
rnacentral:lncRNA from 1 species